rnacentral:rRNA from 1 species
CCUACGGGGGGCAGCAGUGAGGAAUAUUGGUCAAUGGCCGGAAGGCUGAACCAGCCAUGCCGCGUGAAGGUCAGUGCCCUAUGGGCGUUAAACUUCUUUUGUGCGGGAGCAAUAAUGGUCACGUGUGGCCAGACGAGAGUACCGUACGAAUAAGCAUCGGCUAACUCCGUGCCAGCAGCCGCGGUAAUACGGGGGAUGCAAGCGUUAUCCGGAUUUAUUGGGUUUAAAGGGUGCGUAGGCUGUGAGGUAAGUCAGCGGUGAAAUGCCCCCGCUCAACGGGGUGAAGUGCCAUUGAUAUUGCCUGGCUGGAAUGCGGAUGCCGUGGGAGGAAUGUGUGGUGUAGCGGUGAAAUGCAUAGAUAUCACACAGAACACCGAUUGCGAAGGCAUCUCACGAAUCCGCGAUUGACGCUGAUGCACGAAAGCGUGGGUAUCAAACAGGAUUAGAUACCCUUGUAGUC